CAACCCUCAGGCCCUGCCUGGCGUUGGAGGACUGCGCACCGCAGCUCCCAAAGCGAGCGGCGGCGGCGCCCCGAAACGAACGCAGUAGUUUUCUCUCGUUCUGGGUCCGGGUCGUUGUCCUGCCGGAAAACCCCCAUCUAUUCAAUGG
rnacentral:misc_RNA from 1 species